rnacentral:piRNA from 1 species
GAUAAAUUUGGCUGCAGACAUUG